rnacentral:rRNA from 1 species
GACGAACGCUGGCGGCGUGCUUAACACAUGCAAGUCGAACGGAAAGUCCCUGCUGUUGUGUUGUGCUCGAGGGGCGAACGGGUGAGUAACACGGGAGUAACCUGCCGUUGAUAUUGUGAUAACUUCAGGAAGCUGGCGCUAAUACCGGACAGGUGAUCCUGCUUCAGGGCGGGGGUUGGAAAGUUUCGGCGGUUGGGGAUGGACUCGCGGCUUAUUAGCUUGUGGGUGGGGUAGUGGCUGGCCAGGCCUUUGACGGGUAGCCGGCCCGAGAGGGUGAGCGGACACAUUAGAACUGGGAUGCGGCACAGACUACUCUGGGACGGAGAGGAGGGGAAUGUAGCAUAGUGGGCGGAAGGCUGAUGUGACGAAGCGGCGUGCGGGAUGACGGCCUUCGGGUUGUAAAGCGAUUUCGUAUGUGACGAAGCGAGAGUGACGGUAAUGGGUAAAGAAGCCCCGGCUAACUACGUG